AAGUAAAUAAAGAUGCACCCUGAUUAAUAAACCCCAGCCAAUUUUGGCCGGGGUUUUUUUUC
rnacentral:sRNA from 1 species